rfam:Verticillium dahliae VdLs.17 supercont1.11 genomic scaffold, whole genome shotgun sequence.
GACGAGGUGGCCGAGUGGUUGAAGGCGCAACUUUUAAGCCAAUCCCUGAUUGCACAGUUGUAUCGUGAGAUAUCUUGGGUUCGAAUCCCAAUCUCGUCA